AAUAUUGCGCAAUGAGGGGAACCUUGACGCAGCAACGCCGCGUGAGCGACGAAGGCCUUCGGGUCGUAAAGCUCUGUCUUAAGGGAUGAUAAUGACAGUACCUUAAGAGGAAGCCCCGGCUAACUACGUGCCAGCAGCCGCGGUAAUACGUAGGGGGCGAGCGUUGUCCGGAUUUACUGGGUGUAAAGGGCGCGCAGGCGGUUUAGUAAGUCAGCUGUGAAAGUCCAGGGCUUAACCCUGGAAUUGCAGUUGAAACUACCAAACUUGAGAUAAGGAGAGGAGAGCGGAAUUCCUAGUGUAGCGGUGAAAUGCGUAGAUAUUAGGAAGAACACCAGUGGCGAAGGCGGCUCUCUGGCCUUGAACUGACGCUGAGGCGCGAAAGCGUGGGUAGCGAACA
rnacentral:rRNA from 1 species